GCUUUGAACACAAUUAGCACAUGUUUGUAUUGGUUCUGCUCCGACAUCGUCAAGGUUUGCAAGUGAUAACUCAGUUACAGGGGAUACCUGCCUGCCAGCCCCCAGACAACUGCACAAGGAGGGUCUGAACCCGAACCAGCACCGACUCAGGCUGGCCCGCCUCCAUCGAAGCCAGCAUGAAAAACCAAGAUAUUGGAAGACAGCCUAAUCUUACGAGAAUUAUAUUGCAAUUCCAGACUACAUUUUAUUGUUUUUUUUUGCGCAAUGGGCGUAAUCAUUGUAACUUCAGCAUCAGCUGUCUAUGCUUAUUUUCUACUGUUACAACAAGAGGUCACUCUUUC
rnacentral:lncRNA from 1 species